AAGUCGUAACAAGGUUUCCGUAGGUGAACCUGCGGAAGGAUCAUUACCAAAUCCAAAUUACCUAAAACCCCAUGUGAACUAUUGUAUAGUCUGUCUUUGGGAGAAAAACGAAAAAAGUAUCAGAUUAAAUAACUUUGGUUGUUUUUCUCUUUUACUUUGGAAAUUUUUCUCCCAAUAGAGUCCGGAGCAACUUUAUUGUUGUUUCCAGAUUCGAAAACCCCAUUUUAAACCACUUGAUUUUUCUGUUGGAAUUUACUUUUAUUAAUUUUAAAUAAAAGACAACUUUUAACGGUGGAUCUCUUGGCUCGU
rnacentral:misc_RNA from 1 species